rnacentral:rRNA from 1 species
AUAAGAGGUCCAGCCUGCCCAGUGAUACUAUUAAACGGCCGCGGUACCCUGACCGUGCGAAGGUAGCAUAAUAACUUGUUCUUUAAAUGGGGACUAGCAUGAACGGCAUCACGAGGGUCUCACUGUCUCCUUUUUCUAAUCAGUGAAACUGAUCUUCCCGUGAAGAAGCGGGGAUUAAACUAUAAGACGAGAAGACCCCAUGGAGCUUUAAACCCAAUAGACACCUCUGACUAAUCUAACCCACCAUACUUCUUAAGUUCUGCCUAUUGGUUUUAGGUUGGGGUGACCACGGAGUACAACAAAUCCUCCAUGACGUACGGGACUUCCCUCUUAUCCUUGAACCACACUUCUAAGAAUCAACAAAUUGACGUUUAAUGAUCCAAUAUAUUGAUCAACGGACCAAGUUACCCUGGGGAUAACAGCGCAAUCCAUUUUAAGAGCCCCUAUCGCCAAAUGGGUUUACGACCUCGAUGUUGGAUCAGGGUAUCCUAGUGGUGCAGCCGCUACUAAUGGUUUGUUUGUUCAACAAUUAAAACC